CACAUAGCUGAUUAAAAAGUUUAAUUAAAGAUAUAAGUGGAGGAAUCGGAGAUGUUGUUGCGUGAAACACAUACUCUGUGGUAAUGCUGCAGAGCGGCAAUAACCAUUGUGAGCAAGCUCCGGUUUACGACUUACUACAGAACUGAGCGGGAUGAGGGUAAAUCCGGAUCUGGACUCCUUUCCCACCAUCAGCAGAAGAACCGAAGGAGAAGAAGCGCCAACCAACAACCAGAACAGGGUGGAAGCUCUGACACCACAGCAGCUGGAGGACACAGACCACAGCAUGGACGCCUCACAGACUCCCACAACGUCUGCAGCCAUCACGUUCUGGGCUCCUCAGAUGAACCAGCUACUACAAGCAUGUGUGUCUGACACAGACACCUGCUUAUGACAAUCAGCAAAGGAAAACAAGGACAGAGCAACAGCAGAGAAGACGUGCUCUAACACAGACACUGGUUGAAACAACAGGAGAGGCUUCAGACGUGAUCGGCCCAAAAGAGCUGCAUCUGAGGAUCCAGGAAAGGUCUGUCAUCGAGGAACAACUGUCCCAUUGAAAGGCUUCACCCGCUGGCGCUCACAUCAGACUGAUGGUUGGGGAAGGAGGAAGGUGGCGGUUCCUUUUCACGUGAUGUACAAGACGGUACCGCAAACACACACACACAUUCAUACACGCAAUGAAGAAACACGCUUACAGCUGAUACACGCUCAAAUUCAUGUUCAUGCUUAUCUGCUUGCAAUGAAGAAUAGCUUUUUGCUCAAAAAAAUCCCACAGAGUGAUUUUAAAAUGAUGACAAACAGCUAAAUGACAACUGCUGCAUGACUUUACAGUCUGAUGGGUUUAAACUAUUUUAACUUGCAACAAAUUCAGUAAUAAAAUCCUUCAUGUUUCUAAAAAUACUUGUGCACAAUAUAGGUUUGUCUGGCCAGAAUAUAGAAAAACAAAAACAGACUGUAGAAAAAACAAAAAAACAGACUAUAGGAAAACAAAACAAAAACAAAACCAGACCAUAGGAAGACUGAAACCGACUGAAACAGACUAUUAAUGACUAUUAAAGGGAAGACGACUAUUAGAGAGAAGUAAUAAUAAUGACUGUACGUACCAGACUAUUAAAGAAAAACUUCUUCUUUCACUGUCUUGUGCAACAUCUGACAGCAAGACACCGUAACAUUCAUUUUUGCUUUCAACCUUAUGCCCAGUCAAAUUUUUAGGAAGACAUCUGAUGUGUAGUUUAGGUAUUUGAUUGAUUUCCACUCCAGACGGAGUGCAGGUUACAUCUACAGACAUUCUAAAUAAUCCCUCUUUUGUUGGUGUUAACUUCAGCUCAGCUGUGCUCUUAUCAUUGGCUGCUGAGGGGGGGCUGUAACUGAGGCCCUCACACAGGCUGCAUCACAGCUUGUUUAUGAUUUCACACACACACUCAAACUGACCUCAACUUCAUUCUUUUGGGAUGAACACAGGUCUGCGCUUGCGAUUUCUUUUACUAACGAACAAAAAAGAUUUUUAUUUUUUAUUCUACAGUUCCACACGUCCCUCUGUGAAAACAUGAUGGAGACAGAUGCAGGACGUGGGUCCUUUCGUGAACAGAUGUGAACGGGGUGGAGACUGGUGAACGACUUCCGACCCCAUGUGACGUAUUCACCUACUUUGCAUACUUUAAAAAAAAAAAAAAACCAACUUUUUUUUAUUCUGCCUGUCAUGCACAACAAACAGUGAACCUCCACAUUCUAAUGACACACUACAUGUUUUUAUUUUCAUUUUUCAGAGGACGCUCUGACCCAACACUCAGCCUUACAGGAAGCCCUGUUUCCCUGUGACUCACACACAGACAUGAUGUAGGUUUAAUCAGAGGAGGUGAACCAGUGGUCAUCACACCUAAAUCUGACCACAGACCAUGUGAACAACAACAAACACCCUCUUAAAAGAAGCCAUAGAUGGCGUUACUGCAGACACCACUAAGCUACUAAAUCAUUGGAUGCUACAGGCCACAAAGAGAGCCUGUCUAAAUUACACUUUGUUCAGACAAAGGUUAUUUUCUGGGUCAUUGUAAUUACAGCUGAUGGCAAAUCCAUCUCACCCAACAGAGUUGAAGCAAUUUGAAACCUGCCUAAACUGUGCACGUAUAAACAGCUUAUCUUUUCUAGGUUUUCGUUCUUAUCGUAGGAACUUCAUUCUUAACUUUAAUGUCUUUGAGGCCCACUCAGGGUUCUGAUGCAGACGUCUUCAUCGUCCACUUCUUGUCUCACGUGGACGUCUGAGGCUGAACAACGUUCACUGACCUCAUGCUUGCUCUUCAGGCUCCUACCUUGGGUCUUCCUGAUCUGACCCUAUGCGACCUUUCACUCAAACUUGGAUGAGAAAUCAGGUUGUACGACUUCUGUUCUUUUGUCCUCAUACUGUCUUUGAUUCUUUUGGAAUAGAUCACAUCUUUCUACAGCCCGAUGGCUUAGAUGCAACACCACUUUGCUCAACAUGCUGAAAAUUACUAUCAAGAGGCCGUCUUGAAGUCUGGCUCUUUGCUAAGACACUACUCUGCUCAGGCUGCAGAGUUGAUCGCGUUGACUGAAGCUAGUAAACUAGCAGAAGGAGAGACUGUUACCAUCUACAGACUCCACAGAUGCUUGUCACACGUUGGUUCUCUGUGGAAGCAUAGGAAGCUUUUUUGAAGUCUGAUUGCAAACCUAUCUUACAUCAUGAUAAGGUUCUGCUUUGCUGGACGCUGUCCUGCUACAGUACCUACAGCUAAUGCUGUUUGUAACUGUCCCACUCACAACAUCAGUGACGACUUUGUUUCUGCCGACAUGCAGCUGCAGACGCUGCUGCGAAGGUCGCUGCCCAACAACCCCUCCCUCUCCUGAUCCUCGUUUCCUCUCCUCAUCCUUGUUCCCUCUCCAACUCUCUCUAUCCUUUCCUUCCUCUCUCCCUGUGCUUUAAACAUUUUCUACCUCGCAGGAACGCAGACUCUGGCUGACGAAUGGUUCCACCUGUAGCCAUGGAGUCUGGUUUGGGCCUGAUGACACGCCGUGCCGCCCAAACACCUUUUUCCCCAUAAUUCAGAUUUCCCAACAGGUGAAAGCAGGCGACAGGACCAUUACACCAUCCAACCAGGGCACUGGGUGAUCGUUAAGGAGUUCAGGAGGAAGCACUGGAACUCCAAACGGUGGCGAGGCCACUUCCAGGUCCUUCUGACGACCCACACGGCUGUAAAGAUCGCAGAGAGAGCGACUUGGAUCCACUCCACUGCAAGAAGGUCCCGGAUCCAACAGACGACCCUCCAUCUACAUCUACACCACACAAGAAAACCACCACUGACGAAAAGAAUUGAGAAGAACGACCCUCGCUGUGCUCACACACGCACUGAGGCGAGGCUGCGUUGACCGUUCAGCUAAAGGUGUGAGCCAAGCGCCGCCUGAAGCUGCGCCGAUGAAUCACACUAUCAGACCAUACAUCUACACACACGUUCCUGAGAAAACACACACACGAGCAGCCUUGAGUUGCCGACGCUGGACGACGUGUAGACUCUUCACAUCACGGGAGUGACAGUGACUCAGACGACAUUGGGAGGAAACCUGGCGGUGAUAACGAACCCCAAGUGUCUCUGUGAUCAGCUGAUCACAACCUGAAGAACCCCAACGAACAAUCAAUACUUCAACACACAGGUUGGAAACAAUCUAACGCUACUGUUCAACAGGACGAAGCAGAUUGUUACAAGACAUCAAUUGUAACCUCGUUGCGUUAGACAUUUUAUGUUACUCUGAUUAUUGCCUUGAUCAUAUGAUGUUUUCAUGUAACUUUGCACACUACUUUUGAAUGAGGAAAUUUCACAUAAUUCACAACACUGAGUUUAAAUAUCCUAAAGUUGACUUGGUGUUUAAUUUGCUCACAAUCACUUUAUUCACUGCUACAAUUAGUUUUAUCCUUCAUCUACAGAUGAAAGACAACACAAGCGGAAAAACGCAUCAUCAUUCUGGUUAAAUCCCUGAAUCUCGUAUUCGCUCUAGGCCCAAAUGUACAAUUAAAGAUCCGAAAGCAUGAAAUCUAUCUGAAGAUUAUAUGAUACAGAACCCCACCGGAAACCUAUGGCUAUCAUACAUUAAUUGUCUUUAUUACAUUACAAUUGAAUGGCCGUAGACACGUUGUUAGCAGAGGAAAGAGACGUUUGUGUUAUGUUUGGAGAGGCAUGUUGUACUUACAUCCUGAAUAACACUGAUUCUAAUGGUAUUGUGGCGAAGGCGCUCCACAACCUUCAGAAUCUCAGCUAACUCUGGUAUAGGUUCUUUCCCUUGGAAAUUGGCUAGACGAAAUGUCUGGAAAAUGGAAAUCUGUCCUCAUGUCCACAGCUGUUUCCUUUAUCAUUGAGAUGGCUGUGAUUCUCUUGUUUGGUUUUUGCGUUAUCCCACUGGUUAAAGGUCUCAUCAUGCGUGCGACCUCAGCAACACUCUCGUAUCAAAUGACACAAUGAACUAUGUUCAAAAACCCCAACUCUAAUUCACGUAAUGACUUUGACGAUGGCUAUCUGAUCACAAAAUAUAAUCUGGUACAAAUAUUAUUAUGAGCUUAUUUUCUUCACAUGCUCAUACAGAGGUUAUUCUUGUUUAACUACCCACCAAAACAGCUCCCAACCUUUUAUCCCUAAGUUACUUGCAUUUUUAUGUGAAGGUGUAUUUUUGAAUUUUGACUUAAUACACUUACUGUUUCAUUUGUAAGGGUUGUUACUACAAAAUGCAAUGUUUGAAAAAAUUUAUUAUUUUAGUGUUUGAUUAAUGUGUAAUCAAAAGGGGGGAAUGUAAUGGAAAAAUUUUGCCUUGUGCUGUUUCUUAUCCAACACACUCGUCAUGUGCUGGUUAGGUGCAAUACUGAACAUUCUUACACAAACAAAUAAUCUCUUGUGCCCUGACGUACAUCAAGUCUAAACAUCUGAUGCUCCAUUUGACUGACUAAUAAUUUCUGAUAUAUGUUUGUCUUUUACACCCGGACUCUGGCUCCAUCCUAUCUGACUCCCCACCAGACCCAAGGCUGUUAAAGCAAAUGCAUCUUGUCUUGGAAGCUCGGUGUUCCUUCCUUUGGAUAACAAGACAUGACGAUGCAGAAGUGAGAAAGCAAACAUUCUCACUCACAGCGAGAUAAGGUGGCGCAAACAAUUCCAUUGCUGCAGAGAGACAUUCCACCAGAGCCAGAGAAAAGGGUUAAAAGGCAGAAGCAACUUGAGGAUCGUGGGCUCUUUGCAUCACACCUUCGUGGUGUGUGCACUGAUCUCCCCAGCUGGUUUUUGGUUUGUUGAUGUGCACGAUCAACAUCCAUGCUUUUUAUUUGCUUUCCCCACUAUUUUUAUUUUCUUUAUUAUUUCAAUAAAUUGCACAAAAGGACAACUCUC